AGUCAAUAGACCCUGGUAGUCCACGCCGUAAACGAUGAGUACUAGGUGUAGGAGGUAUCGACUCCUUCUGUGCCGCAGUUAAACACAAUAAGUACUCCGCCUGGGAAGUACGGUCGCAAGAUUAAAACUCAAAGGAAUUGACGGGGGCCCGCACAAGCAGCGGAGCAUGUGGUUUAAUUCGAAGCAACGCGAAGAACCUUACCUAGACUUGACAUCUCCUGAAUAGCGCAGAGAUGCGUGAAGCCCUUCGGGGCAGGAAGACAGGUGGUGCAUGGUUGUCGUCAGCUCGUGUCGUGAGAUGUUGGGUUAAGUCCCGCAACGAGCGCAACCCUAUUAUUAGUUGCUACCAUUAAGUUGAGCACUCUAAUGAGACUGCCCGGGUUAACCGGAGGAAGGCGGGGAUGACGUCAAAUCAUCAUGCCCCUUAUGUCUAGGGCUACACACGUGCUACAAUGGUGAGAACAACGAGAUGCAAUACCGCGAGGUGGAGCAAAACUUGAAAACUCAUCUCAGUUCGGAUUGUAGG
rnacentral:rRNA from 1 species